rnacentral:lncRNA from 1 species
UCCAUGCCAUUGUCCCCAAGACCUUGAGGACCCCAUGGAGAUGCCUCCAAAGUCCCAAGAACCCCAUGGCAACGUCCCCAAGACCCCAAGGACCCCAUGGCAACGUCCCCAAGGUCCAUGCCAUUGUCCCCAACACCUUGAGGACCCCAUGGAGAUGUCCCCUAGACCCCAAGGACCCCAUGGUGGUGUCCCCAAGACCCCACAGACCCCAGGGUGAUGUCCCCAAGGUCCAUGGCAUUGUUGUCCCCAAGGACCCCAUAGAAGUGUCCCCAAGGGCCAUGUUGGUGGCCCCAAGACCCUAAGGACCCCAUAGAGAUGUCCCCAGGGACCAUGGCGGUGUCCCCAAGACCCUGAAGACCCCAUGGAGGUGUCCCCAAGGUCCAAGAUGAUGUCCCCAAGGUCCAUGCCAUUGUC